AUUGAACGCUGGCGGCAGGCCUAACACAUGCAAGUCGAGCGGAUGAAGGGAGCUUGCUCCUGGAUUCAGCGGCGGACGGGUGAGUAAUGCCUAGGAAUCUGCCUGGUAGUGGGGGAUAACGUCCGGAAACGGGCGCUAAUACCGCAUACGUCCUGAGGGAGAAAGUGGGGGAUCUUCGGACCUCACGCUAUCAGAUGAGCCUAGGUCGGAUUAGCUAGUUGGUGGGGUAAAGGCCUACCAAGGCGACGAUCCGUAACUGGUCUGAGAGGAUGAUCAGUCACACUGGAACUGAGACACGGCCCAGACUCCUAGGGGAGGCAGCAGUGGGGAAUAUUGGACGAUGGGCGAAAGCCUGAUCCAGCCAUGCCGCGUGAGUGAAGAAGGUCUUCGGAUUGUAAAGCACUUUAGGUUGGGAGGAAGGGCAGUAAGUUAAUACCUUGCUGUUUUGACGUUACCAACAGAAUAAGCACCGGCUAACUUCGUG
rnacentral:rRNA from 1 species